AGUGAACGCUGGCGGUAUGCCUAACACAUGCAAGUCGAGCGGCCGCACAGUAAGCUCUUGCUCUUACCGGUGGCGGGUGGCGGGCGGGUGAGGAGUACAUCGCCAUCUACUUUUUCUUGGGUGACAUCGGAAGGACGCUUCCGCUAAUACCGCAUAUGACCUACGGCUGAAAUCAAUAGAUCUUCGCAGCUUUGGCGUUUCAAUGAGCCGAUGCCGCAUUAGCUAGUUGGCGGGGUAAAGUCCCACCAAGGCGACGAUCCGUAGCUGGCCUGAGAGGAUGAUCAGCCACACUGGAACUGAGACACGGUCCAGACUCCUACGGGAGGCAGCAGUAGGGAAUCUUGGACAAUGGGCGAAAGCCUGACGCAGCCAUACCGCGUGAGUGAAGAAGGCCUUCGGGUUGUAAAGCCCUGUUGUUAGGGAAGAACAGCAGUAGGCUAAUACACGGCUGUUUUGACGGUACCCAAACAAAAAGCACCGGCUAACUACGUG
rnacentral:rRNA from 1 species